rnacentral:rRNA from 1 species
AUUGAACGCUGGCGGCAGGCCUAACACAUGCAAGUCGAGCGGAUGAAGGGAGCUUGCUCCUGGAUUCAGCGGCGGACGGGUGAGUAAUGCCUAGGAAUCUGCCUGGUAGUGGGGGAUAACGUCCGGAAACGGGCGCUAAUACCGCAUACGUCCUGAGGGAGAAAGUGGGGGAUCUUCGGACCUCACGCUAUCAGAUGAGCCUAGGUCGGAUUAGCUAGUUGGUUGGGUAAAGGCCUACCAAGGCGACGAUCCGUAACUGGCCUGAGAGGAUGAUCAGUCACACUGGAACUGAGACACGGUCCAGACUCCUACGGGAGGCAGCAGUGGGGAAUAUUGGACAAUGGGCGAAAGCCUGAUCCAGCCAUGCCGCGUGUGUGAAGAAGGUCUUCGGAUUGUAAAGCACUUUAAGUUGGGAGGAAGGGCAGUAAGUUAAUACCUUGCUGUUUUGACGUUACCAACAGAAUAAGCACCGGCUAACUUCGUG